rnacentral:rRNA from 2 species
UACGUAGGGCGCAAGCGUUGUCCGGAAUCAUUGGGCGUAAAGAGCUCGUAGGUGGUCUGUUACGUCUGCUGUGAAAACCUAGGGCUUAACCCUGGGCCUGCAGUGGAUACGGGCAGACUAGAGGUAGGUAGGGGAGAAUGGAAUUCCCGGUGUAGCGGUGAAAUGCGCAGAUAUCGGGAGGAACACCGGUGGCGAAGGCGGUUCUCUGGGCCUUACCUGACACUGAGGAGCGAAAGCGUGGGGAGCAAACAGG